UAGCUCUCGGUUCUCCCCCAGCUACUGCUGAGAAAAGGAAGAUGAGACGCUUGGUUUCUCAGUCUCCUAAGAGAGUGCGGCAGUGUGUCGGCCGGCUCUAGUACACCUUUACGGCACUGCCCGGCCCUCUGGGAACAGUUUUCUGGGCGGAUAUGAAUGUGGCUCCCUGCAGUUAGAAUAAUAAAUUACUCCUUUUCUAUCCAAGUUGCCAGAGUGUCUGAGAGUUGUUAUCCCAGUUGGAGAAGACGGCUGUGACUGGAGUAGAGAUUUAUCUUCUCUGGCAUGCUGCCCCACUUCAGUAACUACAGGGAGAGGGAUACCAAGGUGCCUUCAGUGUGAUGUUCUACUGGAUAAUACCUCAGUGAUCCGGAAGUGUCAAUGAAGUUUGAGGGACCAGGACCCCUAACCAUGCAGAACCUAGGAUUGUGAAGACGUGAGUUCCUCCUCGUUGGAAGUGAUGCUCUGUAAUGGACAAUUUGAUUUGCUGCAGAAUUCAUUUCCAAACAGGUUCCUAUUAGACAUCCAAGUGGAUAUAUAGGUUUUCCUGAGAAAUAUGACAGUUUUCAACUCUCACAGAGACCGAAAGGAUGAUUGAGGGAAUCACAGUCUUAUAAAUUUUUGAGUUGGAAAGAUCAGUCCUUCGCUUUCAGCUGUGUGGCUGACAGGGUCUUGGUGCUCCAGCCAGGUGUCAGGCCUGAGCCUAUGAGGUGGGAGAGCCAAGUUCAGGACAUUGGACCACCAGAGACCUCCCGGCCCCACGUAAUAACAAUCGGCAAGAGCUCUCCCAGAGAUCUCCAUCUCAACGCUAAGACCCAGCUCCACUCAACAACCAGCAAGCUACAGUGCAGGACACCCUAUGUCAAACAACUAGCAAGACAGGAACACAACCCCACUCAUUAGCAGAGAGGCUGCCUAAAAUCAUAAUAAGGUCACAGACACCCCAAAACACACCACCAGACGCGGUCCUGCCCACCAGAAAGACAAGAUCCAGCCUCAUCCACCAGAACACAGGCACUAGUCCCCUCCACCAGGAAGCCUACACAACCCACUGAACCAACCUUAGCCACUGGGGGCAGACACCAAAAACAACGGGAACUUGUUGCCCAAUUUGCAACCAAUAACUUGACAGCAGAGAAUGAAGCACUCUUUUCCUAAAGAUGUUAGUUUUAUGCAUUUAAAAAACUUAAGGCAUAAUGCACAUGAGAGAUGGAACUGGGUCCUCAAAUAAGUAUUUAACUGAAUGUCAGGGGAUUUAGUUUUAGUUCUGCCACUGACAUUAUUGCCUCAAUCAAGUCAAUAGCUGCCAUUAAAAUGGGAGAUUCAUUAUUUAACUCCUUUUUGGUUCUAUAGUUCUGCAUAUUUAUACACACAGAGGCUCCCAUCUUUAUGUUGGCAAAGUCAAGAAAACAAAGUCGAAGAAGUUAAAUUUAAUUAAGGACUUGGAAAUUUUUAGUCUUCUGUGGCACCUAUAUGUCCAGUCUUCUGGAAUUUUUGAGACCCCACAUUCCACUUAUGCU